UACCCUGCGACUGUUUGAGGCUUGAGGCGCCUAAGCAAAUAAUACAAAGCAGCUUCCUUCCUCCAUUGCAGAAGAGAAGUGAGCAGCCAUGGGAAAGCUGGGAAAGAAGGCGAGGAAGUUCUCGAAGAAGAAUCUUCAGUCCGUUCUCAGAAAAAACCGCAAGUUGAAUUCCAAGUUCAACAAAAGGAGAACUUCCAAGAAAGGUGGGAAAGAAGAUAGUGGUAAAGAACAGAAAAAGGACGCAGUGGAGUUGUCUAAUGCAAGAAAUACUGAAGGAAUCUACAUAGAAGACACUCCUCUUGAUGCGAUAUUCAGUGAAGAUGAGAAUGAUGUGUUUGGAGAUGAUUCAGACAGUGAUGGGUAUCUUUCUGAGGACUCAAGCGAUCUGCAUUGUGAAACUGAGAAUUCUCAAGAAGGAAAUUUUGGCAGUAGUGGUAGUGAUUUAUCUGUGCAGAACAGGGAAAUUCAACUUGAACUUGCGAAGAAAAUGAAAAAAUUAGACAAAUUGAAGGAUAAGGACCCAGAUUUUUCUAACUUUCUCGAAAACUAUCAUAAGCGGUCUGAACAGUUCAGAAACAAAAAGUAUGCUGAUGAGGAUGAGAUGAGCGAGGAUGAUAUGCAGCCAGAGAAUGUUGAUGGUGUUAACACUCACGCUAGCAAGUUGUUGACCAGCUCUGCCAUUGAUUCAUUGUGUCAACUAGUCAAAGAGCAUCAAAGUGUGCCUGCGCUUACUAGUCUAUUAAAUGGGUACCGUGCUGCAUGCCACUAUGGAGCUGAAACAACCAGUGUCUUUAAUGCUGAUUCUUGUCAUGGAAUUCAGAACAGUGAAACCUUUUGCAAGAUAUUGAUGUUCAUGCUUAAUGAGGCUGAUAAUGUAUUUAGGGGGCUACUGGGCAUAUCAAGCUCCAAUCCCAAGAAAGAGAAGAGUUUGGACUUGAGCAAGAAUUCAAAAUGGAAUACUCUUAAGCCACUGAUAAAAUCGUAUUUGAGGAGUACCCUUUUACUACUGAAUGAGGUUAAUGACUCUGAGAUAUUGGCCUUCUCCUUAUCACGGAUCAGAGCUUCUAUGAUAUUUUUUGUUGCUUUCCCUUUGUUGCUCCGCAGACUUAUCAAGAUUGCUGUUCAUCUGUGGGCAACAGGGAAAGGGACUAUAUCAUCUCUAUCCUUUCUCAUCAUACGCGAUGUGGCAUCUGUGUUUCGCUCUGAUUGUUUUGACACCUGCUUUAUUAACACGUAUAAAUCAUUUAUUGGUCAUUGCCAAUUUAUGGAGCCUGUUAUAUUUCAACACGUACAGUUUCUAAGGAACUCCUUUGUUGAGCUCUGCUCUGUGGAUCUGCAGAAAGCAUCUAGUAAAGCAAUGGUGUCCAUCAAGCAACUUUCUAAAAUACUGAAGCAGGGUCUGCUGACAAAGAAGAAGGAAGCUGUCAAGAAGAUAUGUGGUUGGCAAUACACUAGUUGCAUUGAUCUAUGGGUUACGUUUAUAUCAGCUAACAUACCUGAUUAUGAUCUUCAGCCGUUGCUCUUUAUGAUAAUUCAGAUUAUAAACGGAGUGGCUGUGUUGUUUUCUGGACCUAGAUAUUUGCCUUUAAGAGUCAAAUGCAUUCAAUGGUUAAAUCAGCUCUCGUCUUCCUCAGGAAUUUUUAUUCCUAUUGCCUCUUUAGUGGUGGAUAUUUUGGAAUAUAAAAUUGGCAAGGAUGUUGGUAAACCUGGAAAAGACACCAAUAUUAUGUGUUCUGUAAAGUUUCCAAAGAAUUGGUUAAAAUCGAGGAACUUUCAAGAACAGUGUGUUGUAUCUGUUAUCGAACUGCUUUCAGCACAUUUUGCUCAGUGGAGCUAUCAUAUUUCUUUUCCUGAUCUGGCGACUAUUCCCCUUGUCCGCUUGAGGAAGUUCCACGAGAUAACUACUAUAGAGAGUUUCAAGCGUAUAGUGAAGCGCUUUAUUGAUCAGGUGGAGCAAAACAUUGAAUUUGUGCGGAAGAAGAGAGAUGAGGUGCCUUUUUCACCAAAAGAUCAACAAUCUGUAGAAUCAUUUCUCCAGCUAGAAAAGCACAGCGGCAAUACUCCGUUUGCACAAUACUAUAAAAGCAUCAUCGACAAGGCUGCUUCUAGAAAUUUGGCUCUAUUUGAAAAGUUCUCUGAAGUAGACAAAAUCAACAAGAAAACACAAAAGAAAACAAAGCAGCCUCCAAAUGACAAGGUAACUCAAGGUGCCAAUGGUAAACAUUCGGAGAAAAGAAAAGCCAAUGCGUCUAUUAACGGUGGCAGACAAGGAAAGAUGAGGAGAAAAGAAAAGUCUGAAUCGUAAAUCGUCAAUUUCUGAACCUUCCUCAGACUCGCCGAGCCGGUUUUGAUCCUUUUGGCAGAACAGACAUCUUAGCCGAUCGUUCUAGACAAGGCAAAGUACAAAGGGUAAGAGGGCCGGCAUUCGGCACCCAUUUGCCUUUACCAAAGGCCAAGUUAGUAAUGCAAGCUACUUAACGUUAAUUAAUAUUUAUACCCGUUGACAUGAAUACCACUACUAAUCUGGGGUGUUUUCGUAAUUAUGAUGAAAUUAUUAUAAUAAAUCAUGUAUUUACGUGUA